GCGAGCUUGGGUGGCUGCAUUCGGGCACCGUCGUCGUCAUCGCCAUGUAACCAGCAAGGGCUGCACGGUUUCCAUCAUUCCAGCUGAGCUUGCAGAAACGUCGUGACCGAUGCUGCUGUCCGUGGAAACUUAACUCUCGUCCACAGUCUCGUCGCCCUCCGCUGCCACGUGGUGUAAUGUUUCUCAAAAGCCCAACGAGUAGCAGGAGCCGGAUGUUGCUAAGCGAAUGCUAAUGGUCCGACCUCGGUGACUGCUCUUUCUCUGUGUUUAGUUUUCGCGGGGGGGUCAGCGAGGAUACGGUUCGCAUAAUGCAUCUCCGUGCGUAUGUUCGCUCGCCCGUUCGAAUUCACCGCCAACCUCAUCAUCAUGCAUCAUCAAAAGGCGCAUUCUGCAUUCGGAGUGGCACGGGGCGCCAUUGGAUACCAUUGCGUAAGCAAUCGUUUUUACGUGUGUACGGUCGGUCGGUUUGGCUGGCUGUCUAUCUGCCGUCCUGCCUGCUGUCCAUCCUGCAAAGGGUGGUGGCGAGACGGGAUAUGGAUUUCUCGCGUUUCUCCUCCGAGCUUCCGGUGCCGCACUCGGCGCACUCGGAAUUCUCAUUUCAUAUGCGGCAGUGUGUUAUUUGAUAUGAGCUUUCAGCGUUAUUGAAUUUUCCAUUUCCCGGGCGCAUCAUGCACACCACCACCACCACCACAAUUGCAUUCUCUGGCCAGAGCAGCAGCAGCAGGAGCAGCAACGCAUUUAUGCAAAUUACGUAAAACGCAUUUCCGUGCGCUUGGGCUGCCUUCGGAUCGGAUCGCACGACGUGGUCGUGGUGACUUUCGCUUACGGCUACACAUUUUCAAUAAACAGCCAGCGCACCAGCGUCAUCAUCAUCAUCAUCAACACUGGGUACCCCAAAAGCACGUUUUUGUGGUGGAAAGUUUUGCUUUUCGCGGUUUUGCCUCGCCGAAGGGAGACGGAUGUCCUGGGUUAAUUGCGAGAUCGCACUGUAAUAUGUGUGACGCGCGGUAUGGGGUUGUGAUGAGAUGUGCUUUUUGCGAUGUCAUAAACUCAACCUCGGGAUGGAUUUGCUGGAAUAAUUUGAUGGCAGUGCUCGGGGGAGCAAUAGAACCUUCAUUUGAUAAUUCGUUAAAUGUGUGCCACGGAGGGUGCAUGAAAAGGUCCUUUCCUCCUGGAAUUGCGUCAAUGGUAAUGCGCUGUGAGGACUCACAUUCUUGCUGUCACAUCAAAUUUAUUUCUAGAAAUUGCAGAGUGCAGCUGCACAAGGAUACCGAGUGUGUCGAGUGCCUUUUGGAGCACGCUUCUAACGCUUCGCUGAGCACCUUUGAAAACACUCCGUUAUCUAUUACUCUUACUAAGUGAUCAGCGAAUUGCAUUCGAUAUUACAAAGGCCGUGAGCAGAUCUUACAAACUAAACGUAUUUAACAUACGUUCGUCCUAUUAUAUAUAUAUAAUAAACUAAUCGCAAACUCCCAAA